AUACGUAGGUGGCAAGCGUUAUCCGGAAUUAUUGGGCGUAAAGAGGGAGCAGGCGGCAGCAAGGGUCUGUGGUGAAAGCCUGAAGCUUAACUUCAGUAAGCCAUAGAAACCAGGCAGCUAGAGUGCAGGAGAGGAUCGUGGAAUUCCAUGUGUAGCGGUGAAAUGCGUAGAUAUAUGGAGGAACACCAGUGGCGAAGGCGACGAUCUGGCCUGCAACUGACGCUCAGUCCCGAAAGCGUGGGGAGCAAAUAGGAUUAGAUACCCUAGUAGUCCACGCCGUAAACGAUGAGUACUAAGUGUUGGAUGUCAAGGUUCAGUGCUGCAGUUAACGCAAUAAGUACUCCGCCUGAGUAGUACGUUCGCAAGAAUGAAACUUAAAGGAAUUGACGGGG
rnacentral:rRNA from 1 species